AAUAAGCUAGGUUAUUGUUUGACUAUCUGUUUUCAAAACAGAGGGAGGCCUUGGGCCGUUUAUUG
rnacentral:tRNA from 2 species